rnacentral:rRNA from 1 species
UGGGGAAUUGUUCACAAUGGGCGCAAGCCUGAUGACGCAACGCCGCGUGGGGGAUGAAGGUCUUCGGAUCGUAAACCCCUGUCGAAUGGGACGAAAGACUCGCGAGUGAAUACUUCGCGAGAGUGACGGUACCGUUAAAGGAAGCCACGGCUAACUCUGUGCCAGCAGCCGCGGUAAUACAGAGGGUGCGAGCGUUAAUCGGAAUUACUGGGCGUAAAGCGCACGUAGGUGGCGACGUAAGUCGGGUGUGAAAGCCCCGGGCUCAACCUGGGAAUUGCAUUCGAGACUGCAUUGCUGGAGUACGGAAGAGGAGGGCGGAAUUCCCGGUGUAGCGGUGAAAUGCGUAGAUAUCGGGAGGAACAUCAGUGGCGAAGGCGGCCCUCUGGUCCAGUACUGACACUCAAGUGCGAAAGCGUGGGGAGCAAACAGGAUUAGAUACCCCUGUAGUCCCUGAGCGGGCUGGCAAGGCG